UAAGUCUCUGUUUAAAUAUCCAGGCUCAACCUGGAGGGAGGCAGGGAAACUGGCUAGCUUGAGCAUAGUAGAGGUAACUGGAAUUUCUAGUGUAGGAGUGAAAUCCGUAGAUAUUAGAAGGAACACCGAUGGCGUAGGCAGGUUACUGGGCUAUUGCUGACACUAAGGCACGAAAGCGUGGGGAGCGAAUGGGAUUAGAUACCCCGGUAGUCCACGCCCUAAACGACGCAUGCUA
rnacentral:rRNA from 1 species